GACAGAGGGUGCAAACGUUGUUCGGAAUUACUGGGCGUAAAGCGCGUGUAGGCUGCCCUGCAAGUCGGAUGUGAAAGCCCUGGGCUCAACCUAGGAAGUGCAUUCGAAACUGCGGGGCUGGAGUCCUGGAGAGGAAGGCGGAAUUCUCGGUGUAGAGGUGAAAUUCGUAGAUAUCGAGAGGAACACUGGUGGCGAAGGCGGCCUUCUGGACAGUGACUGACGCUGAGACGCGAAAGCGUGGGGAGCAAACAGG
rnacentral:rRNA from 1 species